rnacentral:rRNA from 1 species
CCAGACUCCUACGGGAGGCAGCAGUAGGGAAUCUUCGGCAAUGGGGGGAACCCUGACCGAGCAACGCCGCGUGGGUGAAGAAGGUUUUCGGAUCGUAAAGCUCUGUUGUUAAGGAAGAACGAGUGUGAGAAUGGAAAGUUCAUACUGUGACGGUACUUAACCAGAAAGGGACGGCUAACUACGUGCCAGCAGCCGCGGUAAUACGUAGGUCCCGAGCGUUGUCCGGAUUUAUUGGGCGUAAAGCGAGCGCAGGCGGUUAGAUAAGUCUGAAGUUAAAGGCAGUGGCUCAACCAUUGUAGGCUUUGGAAACUGUUUAACUUGAGUGCAGAAGGGGAGAGUGGAAUUCCAUGUGUAGCGGUGAAAUGCGUAGAUAUAUGGAGGAACACCGGUGGCGAAAGCGGCUCUCUGGUCUGUAACUGACGCUGAGGCUCGAAAGCGUGGGGAGCGAACAGGAUUAGAUACCCUGGUAGUCCACGCCGUAAACGAUGAGUGCUAGGUGUUAGGUCCUUUCCGGGACUUAGUGCCGCAGCUAACGCAUUAAGCACUCCGCCUGGGGAGUACGACCGCAAGGUUGAAACUCAAAGGAAUUGACGGGGGCCCGCACAAG